rnacentral:lncRNA from 1 species
AAAAUACCUUUCUGUUCUUUGAGGGUUCCUAGCCUUGUGAUUUGGAAUCAGAAUGAUCUGGAGGAGAGUCUGCCACUUGAUAACAGUGGUUUGAAGGAGAAGUUCUGCAGUGCUCUAAUGACAGCAAGUUUUAUGUUUGUGAGAGCAAACCUCAUGCCAAUGCAGUUUCGGGGUCCAGCUCCAAAAGGUAUGUAUCUGUAAAGAUCUAUGCUGUCCUUGUUCUUCUUACUGAACCUACUUUCACAGUAGUACAUAAAAACUAGUUAAUGAAACAUAAAAACUAUUAAAACUACACGUUAUGCAGGGUGUGGUGGCUUUUGGGAGGCGAGGACCUCCUUGGCCUCCCAAAGUGUUGGGAUUACAGGUGUUAGCCACCACACCUGGCCGGCUAUACAAUUUUUGAAGGUUAAACCCAUGUUUAUUCAAAUUUGAUUCCUCAAUAUUUGAUUAUAUUGUGAAAAAAUUUUGAUGGAGGAAAGUGAUAAUGCCCUUGUGGUUAUGUGUUUUUAAAAGACUACUUAUAUUUUAGAGAAAAUUCUGAAAUAUUUACAGGUUAUUUCUUCAAGAUAACAUUGUAGUCACAGAGAGGAUUGUGGUGGUGUGUGGACAGGGAAGCUGACAUGCAGCAUUGACUACUGAGACAGGUGAUGAACACAGGGGGAUGCAUUAAUACUGUUCUAUAGCCUGGUGUCUAUAGAAUAUAGUUAUGUGUAUGUCAAACAUUCUUCACAACAGACUUUUUUUAGUAUAUGGAUUUCUCACUGCCUGGCCCAGUUCCUGACACACGGUAACCACUUACUAUCUGUUUGGUGACUGAAUGAUGCAAAGAGAAGUACAAUGAGUGGUCUCUGAUUUUGUGUUGGUGCAGCCACAGGAGGUGGAAGUGCCAAGAUGGAGGAAACACAGAAGUCCUCUACUCCAGAAAACAGAGAAAUUGGUCAAUUCUGACUUGCUCUUCCAACAAGUAUUAUGUACAGAGUCUGUGCCAGCAGUAGAGACAGCAUGCCUAACAAGACAAGGUCCCUGCCAUUGGGAAGUUUAUAGUUAGGGGCCAAUAAAAGUCUAGAUCCCAGGCCUCACCAGCCAGUGCCCUACAAAGUUCAUUCCAAAUUUUCCUUUCCAAAAUGGGAAAAUAUCAACUAUUUCCAGAGUGCAAAUUGUGCCCAAAGCUUGACCUUGGCUCUGAAUUCCCAGAAUAUCAUGCCCAACACUUCCAAGGAAGAACUUCUGAGAAGUCUAGAAAGCAGGUGACUUUGCUUUGGAAGAGUCAUCAACAACUGAGAGUACAAGGGAGCCGGCACAGGACUGCAGACACAAACAGGACCAGGAGAACCUCUGCUUCCCUCUGUCCUCAAUGAAGUGGCUUAAACCAUCAGGGAUGAGGAUGUCUCAGGAUCUCAGCCUGCACUUUCACAGUUACAUUACGGAAAACAGCAAGCAAUGUUGAAAGAAAAAGGAAUGUGGAAACAUGUCCUAAACGUGGUGCUAAAUUCAGAGAGCUAAAGGGCACAGCAAAGAAAAACUGAAAUGAAUAACAAGCUUAUAUACUCAAAAUAACAUUAUGGUGAAAUGAAUUAUAGCUUAUGCAUAUAGAAAUAUGUAGUAACGUAAGAUAGUAGAUAGGUAAUGGUUUACUUUGAAAUGAAGUAAGCAGCAGUUCAAACUCAAAUAAAAUGUGAUAGUAUACUAGUUUUUAAAAAUGUCUAUGCAUAGAAAAAUGCCUACAAGACAGGCAUUACAUAGUUAAUGAGGGUUGUUAUAAGGUGUUUCUUAAUCUAUGGUUUGUAAAGUUUAACAGUUAUCAUUUUGUAAUAAAAAACUUCCAAAAUGAAAAGGCACAUAUUCAAAUGAUUGCCAUGUGCAUCGAGAGAGGCAGAAUAUACUUGAAUCAGGCUGGUUGAGGGAAGGCUCCU